CUGAAUUAAGGGUGUUUUGAUAAAACUUUGAUAACCGUUCGAAAGCUAAUAAUAAAACCGGGGACGUUAAGCCCCCGUUAAUGUU
rnacentral:ncRNA from 1 species